rnacentral:lncRNA from 1 species
UAAUGAUACUAAAAGGGUCUUUUUGACCAACUAGAACUUCUGCAAAAAUGCAUGUUUAAUAUUUUUAAAAAAAUGUCAAAGUUAAAAUAUUUCUUUUUGAGUGUGCUUAAUUGGCUUUGUUGAAUAUUGUUUGAUGAAUAGAUAUUUGAAUUGUGCUAUAAGGAUGAUCAGUAAGUUAAUACAACCCCAACACUUUUUUCUGUAGCGAAACUAGAAACACUAAAUAAGGCCAUCAAUUAAUGUUCUGAAAAAUGCUUUGCUUACGAACAAAUUUCACAACAUUUUACAAACUCUACAAUUUAAUGAUAGGCUUUCACUUUUGAAAAUAUAAUCAU